ensembl:lncRNA
AUAAAUAAAUAAAUAAGGAAAAUAAGAAAUGUAUCAUCAUGAACACUUCAUAAACGUGGUAAUUUUUAUUAAUAUGUAAUUCAUUCUUUAGAAAAACGUUUAAGUAUUAGUUAAAAUGUCAAAUUCAUGGGUAUCUGUCUCACAUACACCCCCUACUUUCACAAUGAAAUGGACUAGUCCGUGACGGACUGCAAAAGAUGAACACAAACGACACUCCAGUCCAGUUGGUGGCAAUAAACCACACAGAAGGAGAAGAAGAAGAAGAAUAAGUAGAAGAAGUAAACAAACAGACACGGAGUAAAAGCUCAAAUGAAACGAAACUACCCGAGUGGUUCGAAUAAACGGAAAAAGAAAAAAGACGCAGAGAAAUAUAUAGCAAAGCUGACAAACUAUAUUACCACUGCUGUUAACAGUCAACAACGUUCAAAGUGUUGGAUAUGCCGGCGCCGCAACCGCAGCAGCAGCUAACGUUAGCUGUGACGUGUCUGUUGACACAGACAAGGUGAUGGAGUUGUCCAGUGAUGGCCAUUUUGACAGCGAUGAUGACGAUGAUGAUGAUGACAAUGAUGAUGACAAUGGUGGGGUUCUGAAAAAAGAAGAAGCCCGGCCAUCACUAACAUCUGGACAACUAAGGUACAGCUCCAUACUCCACACAGACGUCAGCAGUAUGUCUCGGAAGCGUGUGAUGUGGAGAACUCUCUUUUCUCUCUCACUCACUCACUCAUAUUGAUAUUGAUUUUUUUUUUUAAGAAAUAAACAGUGCUGGUUAACCUGGAAUUUUUGCAAGGACAGUUGGUUUCUUAUUCUCCAUCAUGGGUGACUAUUAGCUUGUGUAGUACACUUUGUGUGUUCUUCGUUCUCUGUCUUCAUUUUGGAGUAAAGAAGUGUAUGCAGGGUUUAGGGCCCCCAUACAUACCUUCGCCUUGGGCCCCCAAAUUGCUAAAUCCGGCACUACAGACAGUCAAGACUAUAGUUGUUAUUUAACACAUGUAGCACACAACAGGAGACUCUCCGUGUCAGACGAGUUCUCACGUGAUGACUAAACUCAAAAACUAAUUGAUAAGGUAGCAGCGCAAGAGUGCUUGCUAGCUAAGCAGCUAAACUUUUAGCACCGCUCCUUGUUUAGAUCCCGCCCUGUGUGGGUCACUACACUCUCAUUGGUUAGGCGCGCACACGCUGUUAACGAUACCAUUAGCUGUAGAGUGUGACAAUCUGUCAAUAAAAAUCAGCCACAGGUUCUCCUCUGAUCUACACUGAUCUCAUAAGUCGCCUCUGUGAAGUUUGAAUGACGGAAAUCCGUCAGAGCGACGGAGAACUUUAAUCCAUGCAAAUGAUAACUUGGAUUGAUGCAGCCUCUUACCACUACGUUGCAUCUUUGCUCCGAUUCAUUCAAUUGCCGUUCUAAAAAUAGACCUGCAGACCUCACCUCGCAGUAUCGUUAUCUUCCUCCUGUCAACUGAAAAUGUCCCGCGAUUUCCACCGGUACAUCAGAUAACUUCCUGCGUGCGGUUUCAAAAUAAAAGCUGUCCGGUGUGUUAAUAUGUUUAACAUGAUGCUGUUCGGGGCUUCUUCUAUUUUUUUUCUCUCCGAAAUGAUUACCGAGGUCCG